rnacentral:misc_RNA from 1 species
CUGUCCGCGGACUGUAAGCGCUACGCCGUCCGCCCAUCCCCGCGUCCCGCAGGCCACAGUCCUGCACUCCCGCUCGGCCGCUCCUGUCCUGCCGGCGCGCAGCGGCACGCUGCAGGCUCUGCAGCAGCUCCAGCUUGGGCGCUCGGCUGUGGGCUGCUCCGCUGCUGCCUGCUUGCUGGCUGGCUGCUCCCGCCUGGCCGCCUCCCUGCUCGCCUGCUGCUCCAGUGCUCCGCCGCUCGGUGCUGGCUCGUGCUUGUGCUCCAGCCUACAGCUCACGGCUCAGCCGAUAAUGUUGAGGUGAUCUUCCUAGAAUCACAAGUUGUGGGCAGCAGCAAUCCAUCUUCUGUUGCGGAUAACACUGUUCUUGCUUCGGCGUCAUCAGCCUCAGCCGCUGCAGAUUCUGCAGCUCUCGUUGAUAAGGCUAUUGCAAAGUUGUCUGCUGAUGUUCGUGCACACGCAACUGAUUCAAAGAGAAAGGCCAAAUCACAAGAUCCUGGUUCAAACAGCACCUUGCCGGUGGAUUUUCUGAUACGACAAAAAUGUUCAAUGGUUCCAGAAGUAGUUUCGAAGGACAUGUAUGCUUAUUUGAAAAGGAACACAAGGCUUGGGAUUUUGUUGAAAGUGAGGAAGGAGGACAGGAAGAUGGUGAUGCUACUGAACCUGAACAAAAGGGAGGAUGAGUUGGAUUUGAAGCAAGGCUCUCUCGCGGUGGACGCCGCCGGUCCUUGCCCUCCGCUGAUACUACCGGAGUACCGGGAGAUCCGAGAGGAAGAAGCAGCGCAGAAAGCAGGAGGCGCCGUGCGCUUGCUGACAAUGGUCAAAAGUAGCUAUAGCAGCGACGGCCUGAACCUGCCGUUCUGGUGGUUUCCCCGCUUCGGCAUUACCCAUGGUCCGGUGGGAGCACCGCCCGCGAGCGGCGUGCCUCCUUUCGAAAUGUCGCCUCUCCUCCCCACCCUCCGUGGGAUGUUCUGGCCCUGUGUGUCCGACGUCGGUUGCUUUGGGCCCGGCAAGGCAGAGCUUGUCGGUGGCGGUGGCGAGGAAGUCGAAAGAGCCAAACUUGAUGCUGCUCGCGGGGGUGAAGGUUUCGACCCUGGCAGAUGCUAA